UGUGUUGUUGCAGCCGGUGUUGUACCGUUAUUCAUUUUUGAUGCUUCUUUCUUUUUAAAAGCAAAAUUUUAUUCUGUGAAGUGUUUUUGAAAGUGCAAGUUGUGAAUAUUGAAAAAAGUUAAUAAAAUAAAAUAAAUUAAUAAAAUAAGAAUAUAGUAAGUGUUGUGUGUUAAAUAAGUUAAAUAAAAUGUCAGGAUUCAGUAGGAGAAAUUUAAGACGAUUAAAGAAAGUGGAAGCAGACAAUUUAAAAAGAAAGUACAAUUGAGGACGGACUGUUUGGAAAACAAUGAUAUUGUACUAAAUGAGCAGAUUCCAUGCAUUCCAAAAUUGUAGAAGAUUUUGGAAAAUAUGUUAAUAUCAUAAAAAUUAUAAUUUGACCAGAUGGCCUUAUUAAAAUAAGGCCAGAUGGUACCCGAAAUAAAAAGGCGUUUAAGGAAUUUAAACUUUUAAAUAUGGCCAUUUUCGAAGCUGUCCGAUGUGAAGGAUUCUAUGAACAAGAUUACGCCAAAAAAAUUAGAAAUUGUUUCAAAUUCCAUAAGGCCAGACACUUCCGAACAAUGUCCUACAAUAAAAAAAUACUGGAAAAUUUUAUUUUUUUUUCUUUAGUUUAAACUUUGUUUCU